CAACACCUCUGAGCCUCCCGCUUAAGUGCAGGAGCCGCGGUAUCACUGAUUAUUUUCCUGCUGAAGCAAACUGGCUCAAAUGAAGAUUCUACAUCUGUAGCAUCCAAAAGCACAACUGUCUCACUUGUGUCCUGCCUCUGUGUAUUUGACUCAUUCUUCAUAGACUGCCCCUUGGCAGCUUGUGCCAUGCCUUGUUAAGAUAUUGUUACAGUUAAAAUGAUGGGCAGUUGGGCACUCACAUUCAUACGCUCUCACACUGGAAGGCUAACACACACGCUAACACACACACAUUUGUUGGUUCUGUGUAUUGUUUGGUGUGAACCAGUGCUCUCCAGCAUGUUGUUUUUUUCCCCAACCCUGUAAUCAAUUUGGCUGGGAUUGUGGUCAGACUGACCGCUUGGCGCCUCGAUUUUUUGCUGCACUGAUUCAAGUCAUAUCAUUUAUUAGAAACGUAAUCCGCAAAAACAAAAACUCUUACUGUGAAAAGGAAUCCCACUAUAAUAAAGAUAGAAUAUUUUAGCAUAUUGGGAUCAUUUUCUUGUAUUAAAUUUGGAAAUGUAAUACAAAAAUAAAUAGAAUAAAACAAACAAAUAAAAUGAUAGCAGAGUCUUGUGAGGGCAACCCUGAAUAUUUCUAAUUAACAACGUUACGCAAGACGUGCUUUUAAAAAGGAUGUUGACACCCUCCUCCAUGAUCCAUAGCCCAGUCUUUGAGCAAGCCUCAGCAGGUGCCAAAAACCUGUCUGUGGAAUGCCAGUAGAACAGUGCAGCAGACAGACCUCCCACGACUAACGUCCUCCAUGUUGCUCUACUCUAGCUGUCUGAUGCUCCUUCCAGACCCCUUGCUGUCAGUCCACUUCACCUCUAGUCUCACCCUCUCCUAGAAGUUAAUGCGGUGGCCCUUAGGAGCCAAGUAGGGUAACCUUGAGCGAUGAAAACGCUGAACAUGUCCAAUAGAAAACAACAGUAUGGACAGUGUUGUGUGUUUUUUGCCUGUGAUUUAGCAUUUUUGUCCC
rnacentral:lncRNA from 1 species